GUAGCAGAGAGACACAGUGUUUCCUUCCCCAUCCCAACCAAGGUGAACAUAUGUCCUCUAAUUUCCUAUGGCCUGUGUCAGGAAGAGUAUUUAUGGCCAAUUUAAAAGCAUACAGAAAGUUAAAUGCAGGGACCACUUUUUUUCCCUUGAGUUUGCAUAGGAAAAUAAUUAAAGGCAAACACUGUAUAUUGUAAGGAAUAUAUUGGUCUGGCAUAUGGCAUUCUUUUGUUGCAGAUUACAGACCCAGUGGCCUGAUCCUGCUAUCACUGAAAUGAAUGGCACAUUUCCUAUUGAUUUCAGGGAAAGAAAGAGCAGACCACAACCCAACAUGAGACAGGUGGAGGGAGGAGAUAGAAGUCUCAAAACUACAGGCCUAUGUAAAUUCUGCAGCAUCAGAAAGAGCGUGGCACAGCCCCUGUUUUGGGACAGAAGGACGGACAUCUAAGGGACAUGGGCAUUUCUUCUCAGCUUAGCCAUGAUCCAUAUAAUGGAGCAAUGUAGCCAAGCUGUGGGCUGACCGAGGUUUGCAUCACUGCCCUGACCCAGAUUGCAUCUGCAGUCAUCUGGAACUGACUACACGCCUGAACUGAUGAAAGAGGCUGUGGCAAUAUGGAUCUCUGGGGCCUUGGCAAGAUGCCAAUGCCAUAUUCACCUGUCCUCUGGAAGACAAAAGAGUGAGGAUCAGCAGUGUCAUUUAUUCGGCAAAAACUGAACAGAUGAGAACUGCCGUGACAGCCAAUAGACGAAAUUAAAAAUUAAGGAAAGGCUGAUAUGGAACAAGAGGAAAAUUAUCCCAGCAUUUUGCAC